CAAGUCGAACGAUGACGGUGGUGCUUGCACCACCUGAUUAGUGGCGAACGGGUGAGUAACACGUGAGUAACCUGCCCCCCACUUCGGGAUAACCUCGGGAAAUCGUGGCUAAUACCGGAUACGAGCACUCAUCGCAUGGUGGGUGCUGGAAAGAUUUAUCGGUGGGGGAUGGACUCGCGGCCUAUCAGUUUGUUGGUGAGGUGAUGGCUCACCAAGACGAUGACGGGUAGCCGGCCUGAGAGGGCGACCGGCCACACUGGGACUGAGACACGGCCCAGACUCCUACGGGAGGCAGCAGUGGGGAAUAUUGCACAAUGGGCGAAAGCCUGAUGCAGCGACGCCGCGUGGGGGAUGACGGCCUUCGGG
rnacentral:rRNA from 1 species